CCUCUCCCUUGCAAGUCCUCUCAUUUUGCUUCAAACACACCUAACACUACCCCUAUUUCUUUCUUUCUCAUACCUCCUCUUUUCCAUGAUACAUCAGAUGUUUAGAGCCCAACAUGCAAGGGAAGAUUUGAGCUGAAGAUUUAAACUAAAGGUUUAGUAAAAACACAAAUGAGCACAACAAACCACGGAGCUACAUUAUCACAGCUGAACAUCCUUUCAGACAAGCAAAGGAGCUCUGUUAAGCUGGAUCACGAGCCUGUCAGUCACAGGAACACAAGCACAAGAGAGCUGAUAUACACAAGCACAUCUGAGUUUCAGCCUUACCAAUAUCUUCAUGUGGGGACAGAGGGUUCAGGUUUCCCAUGGAAUAAUUUUCCUCCAUCUGAAAUGUAAACAGAUUUUUUAUUUAACAAAUUAAAAAGGCAAAAGUAAACAUUAAUGCUGAUACGUAUUUUCUUUUAGUGAGAAAAACACUGACACAGUGAAUGUUAGCUUCCUUUACAAAAUCUGGAUUUAAAGGUAUUUAGCAGUCUCUAAAGUUGCAAGACAAAACCACACAGGAGAAGCGUGUGAGUUGUGGAGUCUGCUAGAGGACUUGGAUUUUGCACUGUACCACUGAAGCAGAAGCCUUUUGGAGAAUUGAGUCACUGUAUUUUUGUACAUGAUCCACAUGAGAGAGAUUCAUACUUGGUUAAAAGUCAUCAUGGGGGGAUUGCUGGGAAAGGGAUUAAACAUGUUCAAAGAACAUCAAGCUUAAAAGCAACCAAGACAUUAAAAAACGUUUGCGGCAAAGAUAA